rnacentral:rRNA from 1 species
UGGAUUACAUGGCGCAACGGGUGAGUAACACGUGAGUAUCCUGCCCUUGACUCUGGGAUAAGCGUUGGAAACGACGUCUAAUACCGGAUACGAGCUUCCACCGCAUGGUGAGUUGCUGGAGAGAAUUUUGGUCAAGGAUGGACUCGCGGCCUAUCAGCUUGUUGGUGAGGUAAUGGCUCACCAAGGCGACGACGGGUAGCCGGCCUGAGAGGGUGACCGGCCACACUGGGACUGAGACACGGCCCAGACUCCUACGGGAGGCAGCAGUGGGGAAUAUUGCACAAUGGGCCGAAAGCCUGAUGCAGCAACGCCGCGUGAGGGACGACGGCCUUCGGGUUGUAAACCUCUUUUAGCAGGGAAGAAGCGAAAGUGACGGUACCUGCAGAAAAAGCACCGGCUAACUACGUGCCAGCAGCCGCGGUCAUACGUAGGGUGCAAGCGUUGUCCGGAAUUAUUGGGCGUAAAGAGCUCGUAGGCGGUUUGUCGCGUCUGCUGUGAAAUCCCGAGGCUCAACCUCGGGUCUGCAGUGGGUACGGGCAGACUAGAGUGCGGUAGGGGAGAUUGGAAUUCCUGGUGUAGCGGUGGAAUGCGCAGAUAUCAGGAGGAACACCGAUGGCGAAGGCAGAUCUCUGGGCCGCUACUGACGCUGAGGAGCGAAAGGGUGGGGAGCAGACAGGCUUAGAUACCCUGGUAGUCCACCCCGUAAACGUUGGGCGCUAGAUGUGGGGACCAUUCCACGGUUUCCGUGUCGUAGCUAACGCAUUAAGCGCCCCGCCUGGGGAGUACGGCCGCAAGGCUAAAACUCAAGGAAUUGACGGGGGCCCGCACAAGCGGCGGAGCAUGCGGGAUUAAUUUCGAUGCAACGCGAAGAACCUUACCAAGGCUUGACAUAUACGAGAACGGGCCAGAAAUGGUCAACUCUUUGGACACUCGUAAACAGGUGGUGCAUCG